GUGGGGAAUAUUGGACAAUGGGCGCAAGCCUGAUCCAGCCAUGCCGCGUGAGUGAUGAAGGCCUUAGGGUUGUAAAGCUCUUUCACCGAUGAAGAUAAUGACGGUAGUCGGAGAAGAAGCCCCGGCUAACUUCGUGCCAGCAGCCGCGGUAAUACGAAGGGGGCUAGCGUUGUUCGGAUUUACUGGGCGUACAGCGCACGUAGGCGGGUUGUUAAGUCAGGGGUGAAAUCCCGGAGCUCAACUCCGGAACUGCCUUUGAUACUGGCAAGCUAGAGUCCGGAAGAGGUAAGUGGAACUCCUAGUGUAGAGGUGGAAUUCGUAGAUAUUAGGAAGAACACCAGUGGCGAAGGCGGCUUACUGGUCCGGAACGGACGCUGAGGUGCGAAAGCGUGGGGAGCAAACAGGAUUAGAAACCCUAGUAGUCC
rnacentral:rRNA from 1 species